UUCAUACUCCCUCCGUUCGAAAUUACUUGUCUCGGAAAUGGAUGUAUCUAGAACUAAAAUAUGUUUAGAUACAUCCAUUUCCGAGACAAGUAAUUCCGAAUGGAGGGAGUACAAU
rnacentral:pre_miRNA from 1 species